rnacentral:rRNA from 1 species
GAUCAAAUCAAGCGCGAGAAGGGCGUUUGGUGGAUGCCUUGGCAGUAAGAGGCGAUGAAGGACGUGAUACUCUGCGAUAAGUCAUGGGGAGCUGAGAAUAAGCUUUGAUCCAUGAAUUUCCGAAUGGGGCAACCCAUCUGACAGUUUGAUAUUAUCAGCACUGCUGUUGAUAUUGAGCUGAACCAGAUACUUAAUACCUGAAUACAUAGGGUUUUAAGAGCAAACCUGGGGAACUGAAACAUCUAAGUACCCAGAGGAAAGGAAAUCAAUAUGAUACUCCCCUAGUAGCGGCGAGCGAACGGGGACCAGCCGAGCCUUGAGUGUGAUCAGAAAGACCUGGGAAGGUCUGCCAUAGUGGGUGAUAGCCCCGUAUGAGAAGCACGAUUGGACGUAUUAAGUAGGGCGGGACACGUGAAAUCCUGUCUGAAGAUCGGAGGACCACCUUCGAAGGCUAAGUACUCCUUACUGACCGAUAGCGAACCAGUACCGUGAGGGAAAGGUGAAAAGCACCCCGACGAGGGGAGUGAAACAGUUUCUGAAACCGGACGCCUACAAGCAGUGGGAGGCCCCUUGAGGGCUGACCGCGUACCUUUUGUAUAAUGGGUCAUCGACUUAGUCUGACUAGCAAGCUUAAGCCGUUAGGUGUAGGCGCAGCGAAAGCGAGUCUUAAUAGGGCGAAUGAGUUAGUCGGAUUAGACCCGAAACCGAGUGAUCUAGGCAUGACCAGGAUGAAGAUUAGGUAACACUAAUUGGAGGUCCGAACCCACACCUGUUGAAAAAGGUCGGGAUGAGUUGUGCCUAGGGGUGAAAGGCCAAUCAAACUCGGAGAUAGCUGGUUCUCCGCGAAAUCUAUUUAGGUAGAGCGUCGUACGAAUACCUCGGGGGGUAGAGCACUGGAUGGGUAAUGGGGCCCCACAGGCUUACUGAUCCUAACCAAACUCCGAAUACCCGAGAGUAAUAUACGGCAGACACACUGCGGGUGCUAACGCCCGUAGUGAAAAGGGAAACAACCCUGACCUCCAGCUAAGGCCCCUAAUUCAUGGCUAAGUGGGAAAGCAGGUGAGACGACCAAAACAACCAGGAGGUUGGCUUAGAAGCAGCCAUCCUUUAAAGAUAGCGUAACAGCUCACUGGUCUAAUUAAGUUGUCUUGCGGCGAAGAUGUACCGGGGCUCAAGCCAUGAGCCGAAGCUGAGGAUGCACAUAGUGC